AGAGUUUGAUCCUGGCUCAGGAUGAACGCUAGCGACAGGCUUAACACAUGCAAGUCGAGGGGCAGCGGAGGCAGUAAGCAAUACUGCCUGCCGGCGACCGGCGCACGGGUGAGUAACACGUAUGCAACCUACCCUUGUCAGGGGGAUAAGCCGGAGAAAUCCGGUCUAAUACCGCGUGACAUCGGGAUUCCGCAUGGGAUUCCGAUCAAAGGAGCAAUCCGGACAAGGAUGGGCAUGCGGCGCAUUAGCUUGUUGGCGGGGUAACGGCCCACCAAGGCGACGAUGCGUAGGGGUUCUGAGAGGAAGGUCCCCCACACUGGUACUGAGACACGGACCAGACUCCUACGGGAGGCAGCAGUGAGGAAUAUUGGUCAAUGGGCGCGAGCCUGAACCAGCCAAGUCGCGUGAGGGAAUAAGGUCCUAUGGAUUGUAAACCUCUUUUGUCGGGAGCAAUGAGCGUCACGUGUGAUGCGUUGAGAGUACCCGAAGAAAAAGCAUCGGCUAACUCCGUGCCAGCAGCCGCGGUAAUACGGAGGAUGCGAGCGUUAUCCGGAUUUAUUGGGUUUAAAGGGUGCGUAGGCGGGGAGCCAAGUCAGCGGUAAAAUCGUGGGGCUCAACCCCAUCCCGCCGUUGAAACUGGUUUUCUUGAGUGGAUGAGAAGUAUGCGGAAUGCGUGGUGUAGCGGUGAAAUGCAUAGAUAUCACGCAGAACUCCGAUUGCGAAGGCAGCAUACCGGCAUCCAACUGACGCUGAAGCACGAAGGCGUGGGUAUCAAACAGGAUUAGAUACCCUGGUAGUCCACGCAGUAAACGAUGAAUGCUAAUUGUCCGGGGCGAGUGAGCCCUGGGUGAUACAGCGAAAGCGUUAAGCAUUCCACCUGGGGAGUACGCCGGCAACGGUGAAACUCAAAGGAAUUGACGGGGGCCCGCACAAGCGGAGGAACAUGUGGUUUAAUUCGAUGAUACGCGAGGAACCUUACCCGGGCUCAAACGUAGCAGGAAUAACUGAGAAAUCAGUUAGUUCUUCGGAACUGCUACGAGGUGCUGCAUGGUUGUCGUCAGCUCGUGCCGUGAGGUGUCGGCUUAAGUGCCAUAACGAGCGCAACCCCCAUCGACAGUUGCUAACAGGUCAGGCUGAGGACUCUGUCGAGACUGCCGGCGCAAGCUGUGAGGAAGGCGGGGAUGACGUCAAAUCAGCACGGCCCUUACGUCCGGGGCGACACACGUGUUACAAUGGCGGGGACAGCGGGAAGCCACCUGGCGACAGGGAGCGGAACCCGAAACCCCGUCUCAGUUCGGAUUGGAGUCUGCAACCCGACUCCAUGAAGCUGGAUUCGCUAGUAAUCGCGCAUCAGCCACGGCGCGGUGAAUACGUUCCCGGGCCUUGUACACACCGCCCGUCAAGCCAUGGAAGCCGGGAGUGCCUGAAGUUCGUGACCGCAAGGAGCGACCUAGGGUAAAACCGGUGACUGGGGCUAAGUCGUAACAAGGUAGCCGU
rnacentral:rRNA from 1 species